UGUUCUAUCUUAAAAGCCAACACAGUUGGUUUGCAAAGUGCAAUUUCUCCCACCUUUUACUUUGCCGUUGAUAUUGGCAACGUAAUCUAGUUACUAUAGAAAGCCUCAAGGCAGCACUAUAGUGUACGUCAACCAAUUUGGACUAAGACCCAUAAUUCAAUUCUAGUCACCUCAGUCAGAUCUCAAAGAAGUCUUCCCAAUGUUUCAAUAUGGGAUACAUUUCAUACGACAAGUAACAAGAUUGAUGACAAUAUAUUCAUUUUGCUUCAUUGCUUUGAUAGGCCUCUAUUACAAGUUUUUCAAUCUUGGACCUUCUCUUGGACCAGCGGGCGGAUUUUAUUCAUUCAUGGAAUUCAGACAUUUGACGUUAAACAUUACAAAUACUUCAGCUCAAGGUCAUGAAGCCAGAGGAGAAAUUGCAAAUUCAUCUCUAAACAUUUGCCCUCUUCUACCACCUUCACUCGUGGGACCAAUAAAUGUAAGCGAAGAAGUUUACGACAUGAACUUCAUUGAAAGGAACGUGGGG